UACAGAGGUCCCAAGCGUUGUUCGGAUUCAUUGGGCGUAAGGGGUGCGUAGGCGGCGCGGUAAGUCGGGUGUGAAAUCUCGGAGCUUAACUCCGAAACUGCAUUCGAUACUGCCGUGCUUGAGGACUGGAGAGGAGACUGGAAUUUACGGUGUAGCGGUGAAAUGCGUAGAUAUCGUAAGGAAGACCAGUGGCGAAGGCGGGUCUCUGGACAAAUCCUGACGCUGAGGCGCGAAGGCUAGGGGAGCAAACGGG
rnacentral:rRNA from 1 species